rnacentral:lncRNA from 1 species
AUGUAAUCAAUAAGAAAAGAAUUGCUUUGACAGAUAACACUUUGAUUGCUCGAUAUCUUGGCAAAUACGGCAUCAUCUGCAUGGAGGAUCUGAUUAUGAGAUCUAUACUGUUGGGAAACGCUUUAAAGAAGCAAAUAACUUCCUGUGGCCCUUCAAAUUAUUCUCUCCACGAGGUGGAAUGAAGUAACAGACCACCCAUUUCACAGAAGGUGGAGAUGCUGGCAACAGGGAGGACCAGAUCAACAGGCUUAUUAGAAGAAUGAACUAA